GACCGGGGUACUACGGGCUGUUAUUGCCAGAAAGCAAGGUCCUCCAUUAUAGGCAAUUGGAAAAUAGCAAUCUUCAUGGUCAAUAUUCGUGCUGCUAUUACAUCAGAUGUAUGUCCUUUAAUCGAUUAUUUUAAAAUCAUACACAGAAUGCCUUUCUAACCAAUCAGAUACGAGUACUCAAUAAUGCUGUGGUAUAAACAAGGAUAAUAUUGAAUUAUAUUGAAAUAUAAGUGUAAUUUAGUUUCUAAUGGCAGCCUGCAAUACUUGAGAUAUUCAAUGAGAAGAGGCAGCACUGAGCUGUUGCACUGAGUGUACAAAACAUUAAGAACACCUGCUCUUUCCAUGACAUAGACUGACCAGGUGAAUCCAGGUGAAACUAUGAUCCCUUAUUGACGUCACUUGUUAAAUCCACUUCAAUCAGUGUAGAUAAAGGGGAGGAUUCAGGUUAAAGAAUGAUUUUUAAGCCUUGAGACAAUUGAGACAUAGAUUGUGUAUGUGUGCCAUUCAAAGGGUGAAUAGGCAAGACAAAAGAUUUAAGUGCCUUUGAAUGGCAUAUGGUAAUACGUGCCAGGCACACCGGUUUGUGUCAAGAACUGCAAUGCUUCUGGGUUUUUCACGCUCAGCUGUUUCCCGUGUGUAUCAAGAAUGGUCCACAACCCAAAGGACAUCCAGCCAACUUGAAGCAUUGGAGUCAAUUCGGGCCAGCAUCCCUGUGGAACGCUUUAGACACCUUAUAGAGUCCAUGCCCCGACGUCCAUGCGCAACUCAAUAUUAGGAAGGUGUUCCUAAUGUUUAGUAUACUGUGUAUAUAUGCAGUCUAUGGAUGGAAUAAAUGAAUGAAUGUAACAAAGGCAUCAAUGACAAAAAAUUACAAUUUCAAUUAACUUUACUAACUACUUCAAAAUUAUUAUUAUAAAUUAAGUAUUUUUUCAAACACUAGCUAUUAGUUUAAACGUGUACUAUAGGUGUAUAACCUACCAGCCCUCACAGUCUCUCGUCUUAAUUAGAUGUCCAUCCAUUUUUCUCAAAUGUUAAAUUGCUAAGUUGUUCCAAAUGUUGAAUUUCGAAGUGUUAAAGGUUAAGUUUGGGCAUUAACUCCAAAUUCUUAAGGUUUGGCAUGAACUCUGAAUGGUUAAGGUAAGGGUUAAGGUUUGGCAUGAACUCUGAAUGGUUAAGGUAAGGGUUAAGGUUUGGCAUGAACUCUGAAUGGUUAAGGUAAGGGUUAAGGUUUGGCAUGAACUCUGAAUGGUUAAGGUAAGGGUUAAGGUUUGGCAUGAACUCUGAAUGGUUAAGGUAAGGGUUAAGGUUUGGCAUGAACUCUGAAUGGUUAAGGUAAGGGUUAAGGUUUGGCAUGAACUCUGAAUGGUUAAGGUAAGGGUUAAGGUUUGGCAUGAACUCUGAAUGGUUAAGGUAAGGGUUAAGGUUUGGCAUGAACUCUGAAUGGUUAAGGUAAGGGUUAAGGUUUGGCAUGAACUCUGAAUGGUUAAGGUAAGGGUUAAGGUUUGGCAUGAACUCUGAAUGGUUAAGGUAAGGGUUAAGGUUUGGCAUGAACUCUGAAUGGUUAAGGUAAGGGUUAAGGUUUGGCAUGAACUCUGAAUGGUUAAGGUAAGGGUUAAGGUUUGGCAUGAACUCUGAAUGGUUAAGGUAAGGGUUAAGGUUUGGCAUGAACUCUGAAUGGUUAAGGUAAGGGUUAAGGUUUGGCAUGAACUCUGAAUGGUUAAGGUAAGGGUUAAGGUUUGGGAUGGGAUGGGGUUAAAAUUCAAUAACUUUUUAUCUCUCGAUUUCUCAUCUCGAUCCACUCUAAAUCGAACCCUUAAUGAUAUUUGCCAACUGGACCCUUUAACCAAUGAGUCAGGUUUUCCACCUUAUAUGAUGGAAAUCUCAUCUCAUGUGAAGGUUUGUCAGUGACAUUCAUUGCAAAGCUCAGCUCAUCUGAACUUUGUGGGAUAGCUGCAACAGGUUUUCAUUACUUUUGCUGUGUCCAUAACUCCACUACUGUUUCACUCUACCAUUCCUCCAGCUUUUCACUCCUACAGUAUCUCACUCUCCUGCACCUCUCCAUUUCUCUCUGUUCUCACUCCACCAUCUCUCUCCAUUCUCACCCUCUCCUUUCUCUUAUUUCUCUACUCUUACUUCUUCAUCUGCCUCCUUCCUUACUCUCAUGUGCCUCUUCGAUCUUGCUCUCUCUUUUCUCUUUUCUGCUCUCUUUCUUCUCUGAGAUCUCCAUUCUCACUUUCUCGUUUUCUCCGU